ensembl:lncRNA
CGUCAACACGCCCCACUGCUUCGGUUACUGGUAUAGAGAGUUAGUUUGCUGAGCCGCUGGGUGAUUGAUUACACGUAGAUAGUGUGGAGGUCACUCCCUGCAUUAUUUGCGGUCUUCCUGAAGGUUAAUAGGGCGGAUACUGGUUCAGCUCGUUUGUCUUUAAUAAUUAUAUCAUGUGAAGCCAUAACAGAUCGGGAAUAGGGUAUCACACCACUGCACGGCAGCUGGACUAAUAAUAAAAGUAGUUGCACAUUAAUGGCAAAGUGCGAAUCAAUGUAGCGCCGGACGGACAGAGGUCAUCGCUGAUCAAAAGGUUAAAAUCAAAUGUAUUUAAUAAAAUAGAUGGCGUUGUGGUAAAAAGAACAUCUCAGCUGAGGAGCCGCUGGUCUCAGCAACCAACAGGCCCCAGGUCAGUCCUUUGACCAUCCCUAGUGCCCGUCUGUUCCUCCACCAGCGAACUCCAGAACAAUGGUUCCUACAGUGUUUCCACUAGAUGUACUACCUUGCAGGAGCAAACUUGUUCAAUGGUAGGGGAAACACUGGUAUGUGUUGACAGCAUGCCAGAGCUUUGUGUGCAUAUAGGAAGUGUGUUUGCCAAUGGACUGUCAUACCCCAGUAAGACUAGUAAGAUAAGAAUCAAACCUCUUACACUUGCUCUUUUGUUUUGAUAUUGCAAAGUCCUCAGGGGAGAUCUUGAGGGUGUUUGUAGUCAGGGGGGGUCAGUCAUUUUCCACGCUCCCGAUGCUCUCCAGCUGUUCGACAGCUCUGAGGUGGCGACUGCGCCUCUCUCUGG